rnacentral:sRNA from 1 species
AUGAUGAGCCUGACUCUACUAUUUUGCCUGCUGUCUUUUCAAUUUCCUUUUGUUUUUCCUGCAAGAAACAUUUCUCUGAAGUGCAUGCAAGAUACUGAUGAAUUCCUUUCCGAUCUGAAUUCAGUGAAGCCCAAAGAAUACGCUCUAAGACCAUUCUACACGGGAUUAGAUGUCCGGAUACUUCUCCAGAAAAGUAAUUCUGCAAAUUUAUCUUGCCUUGCAAUUCAGUGUAUGACUCUCUGGGAAAGCUUGGGAGCAACAUUUUCAAUGGAAACAUGGACAGGCUGGGAUCAUACAGCGAGUGUCUUUCCACCUAUGCUCCCAAGGGGAACUUCCGAGGGCAGUACUGCAAGCUUCAUAUACUGCAGGUGAGUGUGGGGGACCUGCAUGUUUGCUCUUGCAGGACAAGUGAAUGUCAUGAUAUAGAACAAAAUACAACUGUUUCCUAGGAUGGGGCUGACUACAGUGUGGGCGUGUGUGUCCCUGAUUCUUGUGCUGAAGAGGAUGUGACUCUGAUGUCUCGGCUGGGUAGGUACAAAACUUUAAGAUUCAGAAAUACUUCAUUUUUGGCCCCUUCCCUCUUUCUUUUCACAAUAAAUUCUUCUUCCUCAUCUGGUGGGAGUGUGGCCAGAUGUGCUGCUGGAAAGUUCCCCCUGGACACAUUUGCUGCCGUGUGUCUGUGGAGGUUGGAUCUCUGCUCUUGACAGUCCCGUCUUUGUUUACCAGCAGCAUGCUUUCUAGGAGCCGUGGCUCAUGCUCUGGAGUGCUUUUCUUGGCAGAAGAAUGUGCCAGCCAUCUGGACUACAAAGACACCAGGUGGCACCUGCUCUGCACUGAAUGGCAUUCGUGUCUUGAGUCUUCUCUGGAUCAUCUUGGGACACACCAGUCAGAUGACUGCAUGGCUGUCUUUGGAUAAUGUGCUUGAAUGGAAAAGCAAAGUGCUUAGAAACCCACUGUACGUUUACUCUUGGAGCGGUCCCUUCUAUCUUGGAGUUGAUACAUUUUUCCUGAUCUUUUCUUUUAGUGGUUGGUUAAGUGCAAGCUCGUUUUUAAAGAUGCAUCAGAAUUCAGACAAAGGAAUAAUCCCCAAAGGCAUACUCAGAUACUUUCUCAGUCGCCUGGUAAGGCAGCUCUCUCCUGCCAGGUUGCAGCCUCUUCACCUAUAUUCAGUGUGCUUGUUGGUUGGACUGUUCUCUCUUGUUCCCUGGGGACCUGUCUGGGAAGUGCCCAAAUUCCACUGGGAUAACUGCCGGCAAGCAUGGUGGACAAAUCUGCUGUUGCUAAAUAACUUUGUGUCGGUCAAGAAUGCGUCAUCCAAGGGAACUCUUGGGUUCUCCACAAAACAUCAUCUGGAGCCAAGCCUCUCUUUUCAGUGCAAUGGCUGGACCUGGUACCUUGCCAAUGACUUCCAGUUCCACCCCACCACACCAGUGAUUAUCUUCAUCCACGCAAAGAGGAGUACACAGAUCCUCAUCCUCCUUGGGUCCAUGCUGUUCUUGGUGUCUUUCACGGCCACCGCUCUGAUCACAUUGGCAUAUAAACUUCCUGUCGUGGCUCCAUCAAGUGAAGAGGCGACUGUAUUGUAUUUCGUGGAGUACUACACAAAGCCCUCCUGCUGAUUUGGGCCAUUUCUUGUAGGCCUCUUUCUGAGCAUUUACAUGCACCAAAACCACCAGGAAAACAUUCUCAGAACCAAGGUACUCCUCUCCCCGCAGAUGCAGGUCCUGCUGGGGUGGAGCUGCUCCCUUGUCACCCUAUUUGCGGUGACCGCUCUGGCAUACAUGGUGGAUGACUCCUCUGCUUCCUCUCUAGUAGCUGCAGCUCUCUACCAAGCCCUCCACCGGACCUUGUGGGCGGCGGCCGUGGGCUGGGUCCUUUUUGCGUGCCACGGAGGAUAUGGAGGUGGUCUGGUGAACCGUGUGCUUUCUUGGGACAUCUGGAGUUUCCUGUCCAGCAUCAGUUAUGCUUGCUACUUGGUGCCUCCGAUUCUGAUCAUCCUUUACAAUGGCCUUCAGGAAACACUUAUUCACUACACCGACACCAACAUGGUGUAUCUUUUCUCUGGACACUGUGUGCUGACCUUCGUCACUGGGCUGGCCCUGACGCUGUUCAUUGAGAAACCAUGUCAGGAACUGAAGCAGCGCCUGCUGGGCCAUGAAUGUCGUGAAUUUAAUGUAAUUUGGGUUAUGAAGCUCAUUUGGGUUAUG